CCAGUCUGCAGGUGGAUUCCCAGUUGCUCUGCAGAAACUGGUCCAGAUCUCCAAACCUCCACGAAAAAGCAUCACCCAGAACUGAAGAUCACGUCAUGGUGCCGUCUGGCCCGGUUCUGCUGCUGCUGCUGCUGUCUUCAUUCCUGACCUGCAGCCUGAGCGGCCCGCCACGCUCCGACCUGCAG